GUUUUCCUACUGCAAAGAAUACAAACAUUUGGGUAAACGAUUAGGGUAUGGCAGGGUUUGUGACACGUUUUUGGAGAUUUUUGCUUAACUACCGUUUAUUGAACAAAUUAAAAACUUUGCAGCCACCAUCUAUUAAGACUUUUCCACAGCCGUGUCUUUUUCCACUGGGGGGGGGUCUCAUCUGCUGCCUCUUUAAGGCUUCGCCUACUCCAAUCAACUUCCCAGGCUUCCUCCGGCCCCACAAGACACGUCACUGGCAAACCGGGAAGCCGAUGGGUAUCGUCCCUUCCCAGCCUUGAUUGUAGCGAGUGGGCUACCGACGUGAAACCAUGAAUAACGUCGUGGAACAAGAGCCUUCGAGAAGGUCGGUCGGGGCCGGGCAGCUUCAAUGCAGGCAGCGGGGAAAGUCACACACCUCCCUCCCUGCCCUUAUCGGCUUUUUCCAUCUUCGGUUCACAGCGAGCAGAUCGCUGCAGAGUGGUGACUCAGAAGGGGCGGGGCUACGGCCUGUUUCUCCUUCUUGAGGCGUGACUCAUCAGUGGCCGCGCGGAAGCCCCACUCCAAAGGAAGGCGCAUUACCUCUGCCUAUUUAUAGCCUCCGAAAAGGCUGAAGAAUGACGUCAGGCAAACGAAUUAUAGGUAUAUGCACAGAGAGUCAAUAGACUUCUUAAUGCUAUUAUAAAUUUCAACAGUGAUUGGCAUACGCACUUGCAAGAUUGACAAGAUUUUUUGCUUGACUACUAGCUUUGCUAGAGCUUAGAUUGGAAAGGUCUGUUUCCUUCCUUCUCAAACCUGUCAGUAAGAAAAGGAUAAUAGUAAGAAGGAACCCUAUCAUUUUGAGAAUACAGAAUGGAGUUUGCACUAGCUGAAAGAGAAUAUAGCCUUUUAAGAAGAAGGAGUAAUUAUAUGGUGAAAGGUGGCAAUUAAAACAAAGUAAUAUUACCAAAGUAAUAUUAUCAAUAAAGUAGUUGAAAUAUA